rnacentral:rRNA from 1 species
GACGAACGCUGGCGGCGUGCUUAACACAUGCCAGUCGAACGGAAAGGCCCCUUUGGGGGUACUCGAGUGGCGAACGGGUGAGUAACACGUGAGUAACCUGCCCUUGACUUCGGGAUAACUUCAGGAAACUGGGGCUAAUACCGGAUAGGAAUCCUUGCUGCAUGGUGGGGGUUGGAAAGCUUCGGCGGUUUUGGAUGGACUCGCGGCUUAUCAGCUUGUUGGUGGGGUAGUGGCUUACCAAGGCUUUGACGGGUAGCCGGCCUGGGAGGGCGACCGGCCACAUUGGGACUGAGAUACGGCCCAGACUCCUACGGGAGGCAGCAGGGGGGAAUAUUGCACAAUGGGCGGAAGCCUGAUGCAGCAACGCCGCGUGCGGGAGGACGGCCUUCGGGUUGUAAACCGCUUUCAGCAGGGGCGAAGCUUGUGGUGACGGUACCUGCAGAAGAAGCACCGGCUAACUACGUG